GAUGAACGCUAGCGGCAGGCUUAACACAUGCAAGUCGAGGGGUAACAGAGAAAAGCUUGCUUUUUUGCUGACGACCGGCGCACGGGUGCGUAACGCGUAUACAAUCUGCCUUGUACUGAGGGAUAGCCUUUGGAAACGAAGAUUAAUACCUCAUGGUAUAUAGAUAUGGCAUCAUAUUUAUAUUAAAGGUUACGGUACAAGAUGAGUAUGCGUCCUAUUAGCUAGAUGGUGUGGUAACGGCAUACCAUGGCAACGAUAGGUAGGGGCCCUGAGAGGGGGAUCCCCCACACUGGUACUGAGACACGGACCAG
rnacentral:rRNA from 1 species